rnacentral:rRNA from 1 species
AGCAGCCGCGGUAAUUCCAGCUCCAAUAGCGUAUAUUAAAGUUGUUGCAGUUAAAAAGCUCGUAGUUGAAUUUCGGGAUCAAUAUAUCGGUCGUGCCUUGGUACGUACUGGUAUCAUUGGUCUCUCCUUUCUGACGAACCAUGAUGUCAUUAAUUUGGUGUUAUGGGAAGUUAGGACUGUUACUUUGAAAAAAAUUAGAGUGUUUAAAGCAGGCUUUAGCUUGAAUACAUUAGCAUGGAAUAAUGAAAUAGGACGUUCGAACCUAUUUUGUUGGUUUCUAGGAUCAACGUAAUGAUUAAUAGGGAUAGUUGGGGGCAUUAGUAUUCAAUUGUCAGAGGUGAAAUUCUUGGAUUUAUUGAAGACUAACUAC